UACGUAGGCAGCGAGCGUUGCUCGGAGUUACUGGGCGUAAAGGGUGUGUAGGCGGUUGUUUAAGUUUGGUGUGAAAUCUCCCGGCUCAACUGGGAGGGUGCGCCGAAUACUGAGCGACUAGAGUGCGGGAGAGGAAAGUGGAAUUCCUGGUGUAGCGGUGAAAUGCGUAGAUAUCAGGAGGAACACCGGUGGUGUAGACGGCUUUCUGGACCGUAACUGACGACUGAGACAC
rnacentral:rRNA from 1 species